rnacentral:rRNA from 1 species
UACGUAAGGUCCGAGCGUUGUCCGGAAUCAUUGGGCGUAAAGGGUACGUAGGCGGUUAGAAAAGUUAGAAGUGAAAGGCUAUAGCUCAACUAUAGUAAGCUUUUAAAACUGUUUAACUUGAGUGAUGGAAGGGAAAGUGGAAUUCCUAGUGUAGCGGUGAAAUGCGCAGAUAUUAGGAGGAACACCGGUUGCGAAGGCAACUUUCUGGCCAUAAACUGACGCUGAGGUACGAAAGCGUGGGGAGCAAACAGG